rnacentral:lncRNA from 1 species
CAUCCAAUGCCCACAGUUUGCCCACCGGACGGCCCUGCUAGGUGGGAAGCUCCUUGCAGGCAGGAACCCCAUCUCCUUGACUUUACUUUGGAAUCCCGGCAGCCUCAUACGGGGCUGAGGCAGGUCCUUCCGUAAAAUGGAACUGAAUGAGCGGCGCUUAAUCCAUCCGCCAAAGGCCAGUCUCCCUUGGGUUUUCAACAGUGCAAUGAGCUUCAUGCUGAAUACUGAUUUGAAGUGUGGUUCACCACACAGACUUAAAUUGUCCUUCCCACAACUUUAUCUGAGAAGCCUGACAACGGUGACAAUCACAGGACUAGUUUUAUUGGUCAGGAUGUGGUGUUACUAUAUUAAAGCGCUUCAGGUUUUCAUAGCGCUCGUCAAACAGAGACCUCGGAACACUCUGCAGACAUUAAUUAAUGUUCGCUCCGGCCCUGGAAGCCAUUUCACCAAUGGAAAUUCCGAUGAGAAAGGAAGAAACGAGGGGUUCAAGGCCGCGCCGUUGUGAGUCCGCUGCGGAACUAGGAACUGAAACCCCGUGGUUCCCAAUGAGCCAGCGAAAGUCUGUCGAAGUAUUGAGCACCCCUAUUGAAGACUGUGGGAGUUUUGGCGGCUUAAUGGGAUUGUGUUCGGUCCUUCAGGCUCUCCUUUAAAAGAUUCCAUGGCACCAACGAGACUCCAAUAAAAGGGCCUCUCUAAUUGCUUUCUGACUUUCUAUGAAACUUUCUAAGCUAUGCUGACAUCCUCGAAUACAACUAUGGAAUUAAAGAGGAGAGAAAGGCGAGGCACAGUGGGUGCGCAAAGAAAAAGAGGUUCUCAGCGGA